rnacentral:piRNA from 1 species
UGGGACUCAGGCUAAGAGUGUUCUGUGUUC